AUUAAACGCUGGCGGCAUGCCUUACACAUGCAAGUCGAACGGCAGCACGGGGGCAACCCUGGUGGCGAGUGGCGGACGGGUGAGUAAUACAUCGGAACGUGCCCUGGAGUGGGGGAUAACGCAGCGAAAGCUACGCUAAUACCGCAUAUUCUGUGAGCAGGAAAGCAGGGGAUCGCAAGACCUUGCGCUUUGGGAGCGGCCGAUGUCGGAUUAGCUAGUUGGUGGGGUAAAGGCCUACCAAGGCGACGAUCCGUAGCGGGUCUGAGAGGAUGAUCCGCCACACUGGGACUGAGACACGGCCCAGACUCCUACGGGAGGCAGCAGUGGGGAAUUUUGGACAAUGGGCGCAAGCCUGAUCCAGCCAUUCCGCGUGCAGGAUGAAGGCCUUCGGUUGUAACUAGCUUUUGUUACGGAACGAAACGGCGAGCUCUAAUACAGUUUAGCUAAUGACGGUGCCGUAAGAAUAAGCACCGGCUAACUACGU
rnacentral:rRNA from 1 species